rnacentral:rRNA from 1 species
AUUGAACGCUGGCGGCAUGCCUUACACAUGCAAGUCGAACGGUAGAGGGGGCAACCCCUUGAGAGUGGCGAACGGGUGAGUAAUGCAUCGGAACGUGCCCAGUUGUGGGGGAUAACACUUCGAAAGAAGUGCUAAUACCGCAUACGACCUGAGGGUGAAAGGGGGGGAUCGAAAGACCUCUCGCAAUUGGAGCGGCCGAUGUCAGAUUAGGUAGUUGGUGGGGUAAAGGCCUACCAAGCCGACGAUCUGUAGCUGGUCUGAGAGGACGACCAGCCACACUGGGACUGAGACACGGCCCAGACUCCUACGGGAGGCAGCAGUGGGGAAUUUUGGACAAUGGACGCAAGUCUGAUCCAGCCAUGCCGCGUGCAGGAAGAAGGCCUUCGGGUUGUAAACUGCUUUUGUCAGGGAAGAAAUCCUCUGGGCUAAUAACCUGGGGGGAUGACGGUACCUGAAGAAUAAGCACCGGCUAACUACGUGCCAGCCGCCGCUGUAACAC